GAUGAAGAACGUAGUGAAAUGCGAUAAGUAAUGUGAAUUGCAGAAUUCAGUGAAUCAUCGAAUCCUUGAACGCACAUUGCGCCCGCCAGUAUUCUGGCGGGCAUGCCUGUUCGAGCGUCAUUUCAACCAUCAAGCCCCCGGCUUGUGUUGGGGACCUGCGGCUGCCGCAGGCCCUGAAAACCAGUGGCGGGCUCGCUGUCACACCGAGCGUAGUAGAUUUUCAUCUCGCUCAGGGCGUGCUGCGGGUUCCGGCCGUAAAAAGCCUUAUUUACCCAAGGUUGACCUCGGAUCAGGUAGGAAGACCCGCUGAACUUAAGCAUAUCAAUAAGCGGAGGA
rnacentral:misc_RNA from 1 species